rnacentral:lncRNA from 1 species
UGGGUUUAUCCUGGCCUGGAGCUGCAGGAGCUCCCACCUGAGGCUCUGCCCGGGGCUGGGAGGGGUUAAUGAACAGUGGGAUUAAUGAACAGUGGGGUUAAUGAACAGUGGGGUUAAUGAACAGUGGGGUUAAUGAACAGUGGGGUUAAUGAACAGUGGGGUUAAUGAACAAUGGGGGUUAAUUCAAACAGCUGGCUGGGUGGGGGAAUGAUUCCCUGAUGAAUAAUUCCCAAUAUUUCCCAAAUCAGCUUGGGACAGGGAAGGAACACCUCGGUGUAGGCCAGGCCUGAUGAGCCACUUUUGUCCCUGCCAGUGGUGACCCCAGAGCUCAUCCUCAGAUGGAUUUGGGAUCCACCUUUCCUGGGAGCUGCUCUCCAGCACAGAUGUCGUUUCCAUGUGGUUUCCAGCUGGUCAGAAAGUUCUGAUGAAGGAGAGCUGGAGAGGAGCUCUGGAAAAGGGCCUGGAGCGCUGGGAUACAGGGAAUGGAAUAAAUGAGAUUUUUGGGAAGGAAUUU